GAAAUGCGAUAAGUAAUAUGAAUUGCAGAAUUCAGUGAAUCAUCGAGUCUUUGAACGCACAUUGCGCCCGCCAGUACUCUGGCGGGCAUGCCUGUCCGAGCGUCAUUUCAACCCUCGAGCCCAGCUCGGCGUUGGGGCACGCGGGUCGGGGCGCCCCCCUUCUGGGGGGGCGCCACCCCCCGCGGCCCUCAAAUACAGCGGCGGCCGCCUAAGGGAUACCCUCUGCGCAGUAAACUAACUCGCACCGGGAGCCCUACGGGAGGCCCGCCCCGAAAACCCCAACGCGCGCCCACCCCUCGGGGAGCCGCGUUCACAAAGGUUGACCUCGGAUCAGGUAGGAAUACCCGCUGAACUUAA
rnacentral:misc_RNA from 1 species